AGUGAACGCUGGCGGCAGGCCUAAUACAUGCAGGUCGAACGGCAGCACAGCAGAGCUUGCUCUGUGGGUGGCGAGUGGCGGACGGGUGAGGAAUACAUGGGAAUCUGCCCAGUCGUGGGGAUAACGUAGGGAAACUUACGCUAAUACCGCAUGCGCCCUUCGGGGGAAAGCCGGGGACCGUAAGGCCUGGCGCGAUUGGAUGAGCCCAUGUCGGAUUAGCUAGUUGGCGGGGUAAAGGCCCACCAAGGCGACGAUCCGUAGCUGGUCUGAGAGGAUGAUCAGCCACACUGGAACUGAGACACGGUCCAGACUCCUACGGGAGGCAGCAGUAGGGAAUAUUGGACAAUGGGCGCAAGCCUGAUCCAGCCAUGCCGCGUGAGUGAAGAAGGCCCUCGGGUUGUAAAGCUCUUUUGUCCGGAAAGAAAAGCGCCGGGUUAAUACCCUGGUGUCCUGACGGUACCGGAAGAAUAAGCACCGGCUAACUUCGUGCCAGCAGCCGCGGUAAU
rnacentral:rRNA from 1 species